rnacentral:rRNA from 1 species
GAUGAACGCUGGCGGCGUGCUUAACACAUGCAAGUCGAACGAAGCACUUUAUUUGAUUUCCUUCGGGACUGAUUAUUUUGUGACUGAGUGGCGGACGGGUGAGUAACGCGUGGGUAACCUGCCUUGUACAGGGGGAUAACAGUUGGAAACGGCUGCUAAUACCGCAUAAGCGCACGGCAUCGCAUGAUGCAGUGUGAAAAACUCCGGUGGUAUAAGAUGGACCCGCGUUGGAUUAGCUAGUUGGUGAGGUAACGGCCCACCAAGGCGACGAUCCAUAGCCGACCGGGGAGGGUGACCGGCCACAUUGGGACUGAGACACGGCCCAAACUCCUACGGGAGGCAGCAGUGUGGAAUAUUGCACAAUGGGCGAAAGCCUGAUGCAGCGACGCCGCGUGAGCGAAGAAGUAUUUCGGUAUGUAAAGCUCUAUCAGCAGGGAAGAUAGUGACGGUACCUGACUAAGAAGCACCGGCUAAAUACGUG